GUAUAAGACUUCCCUGGACUGGCAUCAUAAAGCAGGCUCACAGUACUGCAUAUCUAUCUACUUUAAUAUUUGCCAUGAAACAGUCACUAGGUAUGUGAAUACAGGAAUUAGUACCUUUUUAGCUGUUUUCUUCAGCACUGGGAGUCUACUUACUAACAUCUUUGUCUUCUAGUGUAGGUGCAGAAAGAUUUUUUUUUCAGAGAAAGAAUAUACAUACUAGAGUAGAUCAUGGAAAACUAUAUUAAAUUGUUAAAUAUGAUUACUAGGUAUCUUGCAAUGUGUCUGAGAGUUGUUUUUAACGUAAUAUGGUUUCAUAUUCCUCCUGUGUUCCACUAGUAGUUAUAGUAGGCUGCGGUAAGAUUGUAUGUGGAAUGAUUUCUGAAAGCUUCCUGUGUAUUUUGCAAUUUUUCAGUAAAGAUUAAGAAAGAAAACAUAUGAACGUCAGGGUUUCAAGUUCAGUUGUUCUGAAAUCAGGACAAAGACACAUGAAAAUUCAGUGUUCAGACCUCUUUGAUUAGCUUUUGCUGACAUGUCAUGGCCAGGGAUCUCCAUCUAGUAUUCAGGAUUCUGACUGCCAGGGUUACAAAGACCCUUGCUAAUAUAUUCUGGAGCGUGGUGCACUUCAAGUCAUCCACGAUAUUUUUGUGGCUUUUGCUAGACAACAUAGUAAUUGUAGGAAAAGUAA